UUAGUUUAACUUUUCUAUUAAUGAAGCUUUGUGUUUUCUUUUAAGAUCUUGGAUUAAAUCUUGUAUUUUAAGGGUUUUGGAUUAAGCUCUUGUUAUCUGUGAAUUCGGAUUGUCUUUAGAGUGUUAUCUUACAACACGUUGGAGUUGUUCCUUCAACAAAUUGUGUGGUUUACUUUAUUUUGCACAUUAGCGAGUUCCUCCAAACAUUGUGCUACAUCAAUAUGUGUACCCAAAGUAUGAUGGAGGGUAUAUCCAUGUCAUUUGUCAUAGUUCAGGGUAUAUUUGUCCCUUUUCUGAUGAUAAUAUAUGCAUUAUUUUAUGUUAAUAGAGAAAGUCAAUUAUUUACGUGAAAUAAAUCUUAUUCUGAAUAUGUUAUUUCUUUUCAACUUUUUGGCUAUAGUACUGUUAGUUUUUUUUUUUUUUUUGGGAUUCUUCUUCAAUAAAUUCUUAAUUUAAUAGUGUUUACUUAAAGUGAUGAUUAUUUUGUAUUACAAUUUUUAGUUUAAAUUAUAAAUACAAAAAUUAUAUGAAUUUAAAAUAAUUUUUUCUACCAUUGAAGUAGUAAUAAGGUAUGCGUAUAUUCUACUCUCUCUCUAAACUCCAUUUUGUGAUUAUAUUGGGUAUAUUUUUUUUUUGUGGUUGUAUAUAAAUUUAAAAUAAUUUAUAUGGAUUAGAAUGUCGA
rnacentral:lncRNA from 1 species